rnacentral:lncRNA from 1 species
AAAUGAGUGUAAUUAAAUACAAAUUUAAUUUAGCAAAUGUAUUGUAGAACUAAAAAAUGUGUCUAUAUUAAUUAUCAUAAUGUCAUUAAAUUGCGACAAUUAAUUAUCGGAAAAUAUUACGGUAUCGCGUUUCUCAUCACGAUUAUCUGAUUAAUCCUGCCUUAUUACGCGUCACGCAAAAAUGAUGUUACCAUAAUUAUCCUCCGUCCAUCAGUCUCGGUAAGAGAGAAGGAGAGAAAGAAAGAGAAAGAAGCUAGUUACGACGAGAAAGAUAGGUCAUCGACCAGUGGCGCGUAUCAAACGGCAAUAAAAAAGCAGCUCGUCGCGGUCCGUUCGAAAGCGUGCGCGCGCGUCUCUAACGGACGAGCGUCCUGGAAGUUGUCCCGACCUAAGGACAAACGUACUACUCCGCGUAAGGUCACCCGGGGCUCCGCUCGAUGCAGCGCGUACAUUUCCGCGUUCACGCCGACUGGCCGGCGCGGCGCGGCACAGCGCGACGAGGCUCGGCACGGCGCGGCCAGUCACUGCGAGAGCGUCGCUAGGUCGUAGGUCGAAUAUUCGAUAGGCGAACGCCUGGUUAACGGUACACCACCUCGCCGGGUGCCUCCCCGAAGUUUUGACAAUCCACGUCGUAAGCAAUCGUGCCUGCAGCGGCUGGCAUACCGCGCGCGCUCCCGCCGAGGAUCGGCGCACCGUCUCGCGGACGAUCGGACAGCAACUCCAGGGAGGAACGAAACAGAAAGAAAAGAGAGAGAGAGAGAGAAGGAGAGAAAGAAGGAAAAAGAAAGUAAAGGAGUAAGAAAGAGAAAGAGAGGAGAACGAUGGGAGAUAAGGUGGGCGGCGGAUGCUGUGAAGAAGAGAUGAAGAGAAGAUGGGGAGACUCUCCGUGGAGGCGCGAGCAAUCGGCAUACAUCCGAGGACUCGGACGAGAGAGGCGUGUGCAACGAGAAUUCAAAUAAAUCGCUAAUCGAGGACUUCCCGCGCACGUGUCUGUGUGGUUAUCGAGAAGAAGAAAGAUCGGAGAAGGAAGAAGCGGAUACGCGAUAAAAAUGAAAAAGUCACUGAUGCCAUGCGAGCGACGUGACCUCUCGUCGGUGACCCCGGACGAACCGGCCAGCGACGACGAGGAAAGGGGAAUGCCAGACCUGAGGCUACAUUCACAAUUCGCCGAAAAAGGCAUCGCACACAACCGGCCCGCCGAUUGUGUCGAUCGGUCAACAGUCGUACGUAGCUCCGAGAACUCGUCUUUUCCUGAUUGCAGACAGGCGGAAGAAUCGCCGACUGAUUCGACGCCGCGAAUGAAAUUUGUCAUGGGAUCCUCGUAUUUGACGUUUUCCCUGUGAUCUAAUCGGUCUAUUUAUAUCGGCACAAUACCACAACCUGAUUAAUUUGACUGAUAGAGAAAUAAAUGCUCUCUUUGAUAAAAUCUAAUAGUAAUAUUAGUCUGUUAAAUAAAAUAAUAAUAAAUACAUUUUAAAUCUUGAUUUUUCGUUUCUCUCAAAGCUUAGAUUAACUAGAAAAAUCAAAGACAUUAAUCGAAUCAUAUAAUAAUUGUAAAAAAAUGCAUUAAAAUGUAUUUAAAAAAACUAAACAUGUAAAUUCUCUUACAAAUUACUUAAAUUUGAUAGAUUAAGAUAUUUGGAAAUAUUUGAACUUAAAAGUACAUUUGAAAUGCUGAAUUUUUUUUCGAAUUCAAAUAAUGAUACGAUAUUAUUCAGAGAGUGCAGUUUAUUCCCAUGUUCUCUCGGAGUAAUAGGUUUCGUUGCAUAAAUCGAUUUGUCGAUUCGUGCAGUUUUCUCAACAGAGAAAGUCAGUUAAUAUCGUUGGACAAUUGGCGACAGCCAUUAACGGCCAGUGAAACUGAAACUAAAGGUCCAGAGGGACUGUCAGUUACUUGGCCAUUCCACGCGCGUCUCAUUAGUUUCCCUCCAUAACUUUUCUAACUUCCUAUUUACUUUCCUAACUCAUAACUCGUGUAUUUGCCUGCUCGAACAAAUUCUGGUUUUUAAGGUUUGACAAUUCUGACACUUUUCGUAUAAGCGUGAAGCGCAUAAUGAUGAUUUAAAACACCAUCAUUUAACACAUCACCAUUUACAUGAAUUAUUAUCAUAAGAUUAUUCGCUUUACCAUUAAUAUAAAAAUAUAAACAUUAAUUGUUUGUAAAAUUGUUUAGAUAGAAAAAUUUUUCCAUUUGCCUUAAUUUAAAGAAAAAUUUACCUCAGUACUUCAUAUCAAUAUUUUAUAUAGGACUAUAAAAAGUACCGAUGCCUAAUUAAAUUACGCUAGAAAAAAAAAUUUAAUUCUUAAAUAUAAAUACUUGAUUUUUUAAAGGUAGAAUAUAUCUAUUUCUUGAUAUAAAUAUGUGUGUCUAUCGUGAGAAAUUUCAUUAAAGUUCUUAAAUUAUCAUUCGUUUCCGUCCGAUAUUCCGUUAGAAGAUAAACAAGAGACAGAAAACGAGAGGAGAAGGUAAGGCCCCGUCUCGUUAUUUAGGCUUCAAUUUGAACUUUAAAGUCGAUCGCGGCGGCUGGCUGGGUCGCGGGAAAAAGUCGCCUCGAUCGGCAUCGUCUAAUGAUCGAUACGUUAAUCGGCGACCCGGGCGAGCCUUGAAUUACUGGCGAACUUUCAGGAUACCGCGGGUUUCUGUAACCGGUAUAUCCUCCACUCACCGAGUUUAAACCGAGUGCCUGUCAGUGUUACCUGCCAUUCAGACAAAUUCCGACCAUUAAGCGUCGAACGUUGUGUGUUGCAGUUAUACGAACCCGCUCCUAAAGCUUCGUGCACCUAGCCGAAGAAUAUGAUGUUCGACCGUGGAUUGACCCUUACGGUACCUCCAACGUCAAUGGUUUAAUUACGAUAAAGUCAUUUCUUCACGGCGUCUUUUUGCAAACGAUACAUUCCACCCCUCUUAAAGGUCAAAAGUUGUAUUUAAAGGACGAUGGACCGCUCGAUGCAUACACCGACACCACACACAUGCACGAAUUACCGAUCAUUCGGUCGUUAACAAUCCCGCUAAUUAGAUGAUUAGAAUCUCAACUGUGUAGAUGAUGGAUAUGGAUUAACCGCUUUCUUAACGAUUAACUGCUUCUUCUAAUGUAUAACGCUUAAAACGGUCACGGUAGACUUUUAAUAAUACACCGGGCAUAAAAUCUUUGGGCAGAAAAAAUAAAAAAAAAGUAGAUAUACAAAUAAAACCUACUUAAAUGCAAGCAUUUUUGAUAUUUUUAAACUAUAACAUUCCUCAUAAUGUUGGCAUACAAAACUUACUGAGCUUAUUUAUAAUUAAAACUUAUUAAGUUUGCUCGAUAAGUUUUCAUCAAAUUAAAUAUGCAGUUUUAUGCUAACAAUAUAAUUACAUAUACAAACUUAUAUUUUCUACUACAAAGCUUAAAUCAUCAUUUUUAUGUAAUAUCGUUACGAGCAUCGUUUUUCGCGAAAUUGUUCCACAUUUCUGAUUUUUGCACCGACGUUGGCUCGCCUUUGAUGCCCAUAUCCUAGUUAUCUCAGUCUCUAACCGAUCCAGCUCGAGUCACUAACUCUACUGACUGGCUGUCAGUGUACCUGCUGGCCAGACAAAUUCCGACCAUUAAGCGUUCGAAUGUCGUCGUCGUCGUCGUCGUCGUCGUGGCUGUGAACCCGCUUCGAGGCCCCCGUGUGCCACGACUUCGCCGAGGGAAUAUAAUGGUGGACCGUGGAUUGACCCUUGCGGUACUCCCACCAUCACCAAGGCAAGGCACCGCCAUCACCUACGCCACACGAAGCACCGUGCCGACGACACCGAUUCGCACGACCACCGACUCACCUGGCGAAGUCGAGAGAGACGCGCGCAACGCCUAUGUAGUUUACUUCGAGGCCCGAGCUAUACGUGCCGGGGUCAUAUUCUCAUCGGCGAUGCAUGGCCGCCGGUACAGUCGACGGGAACAGUCGGCCAGCCGGCUGGCCCCGGAGGAGUGCGCGUCGCGAGGAAAAAAAAAGAUCUGGCACAUGGGUCAGCCGCGAUUUUCAACGCUUGUAGUCCACGCCCGCCUUCGCGCGCAAGAAAGAUCCCGGAAACCCGGUUGAGUCCAAUAAACCGAAUGCAGCAACCUGCACGAUGAGAAGAUACGAUUUUUCGUGUACAUGCACAGAAAGAAAUAUUUAAACCUGAGUUGAAUAUUUCGAGGAACAAACAAUAGCUGGAUUCCUAGAUGACCUAGAUUCCAAACCCCAGCUUUGAAAUCUAAAUCACUCGUCGCGAUAAAAAUUUAUGUCUAUAUCUAAAUGUGAACAAAAGUUAUGUUAUCCAUAACUAAUAAGUAUAAAAAAUUAAUUUCUUUAUAUUCCCUUUUUUUCUUUAGAUCAAUGAAAUAUGUGAUGCUGCGAUGAACCAAGUCCGCCUACGAGAUCGUACGUUAUCGGUAGAUCACAACCGGUAGUAACCUUGUCGGGCUUAAAAGAAGGCCAUGGGCGAAGGUUACGAUGAUCGCACGAAUGACAUUACAAAUUCACCGCAAAGCGGAUGAUGGUCGAUUUCUAUUUUUAAAUUGCCAGAUACACGAUACUAUAAUAUUUUAUCAUUUAACGUUAAAUAAUUUAUGACGGUAUGUAAGCGGAUAAGAAGAUUGCGUCGGGAAUCUUUUUUAUUGAGCCGAAUCAUUUAACCGAUGUAAAAAAGUGUGUAAAAAAAAAAAACAGUUUUAAAAAUGACAAA